rnacentral:rRNA from 1 species
GAUAAACGCUGGCGGCGUGCCUAAUGCAUGCAAGUCGAACGGGUAGCUUCGCAAGAAGUUACUAGUGGCAAACGGGUGAGUAACACGUGGGGAUCUGCCCAGUAGUGGGGAACGAACUCCGAGAAAUCGGAGCUAAUACCGCAUACGGUCUGUGUUGAGGGACGACGAGACUAAAGCGAGCAAUCGCGCUAUUGGAGGAACCUGCGGCUGAUUAGCUAGUUGGU